UGCAGAUGAUGUAAAAAAGUAUUUGUUAUCUGAAUGGUUGUGCUGACAUACAUAACCACCAAGAUCGCUGAUGCA
ensembl:snoRNA SNORD24 Small nucleolar RNA SNORD24